GGACCGGCUCCGGAGCUGAAAGUGAUCCAGUAUAUGCAGUUUGCUGUGGGAGAAAUUCCAAACAGGUGGAAGAGAAGAUGUGCCAAGAGAAAACCUACCAACUACAGACUUGAAUUUUCUCAUUAGGUAUCUUGAAAAUACAGCCAAGAGGAAUUAGUAUUACUCUUCCUUGUUCAAAACCUUCUGAAGAACAGCUACAAAUUUAAAAUACAGAAAAGAAAACAGGAAUUUCAUGGCUGGAGUGACUGUAUAAUUGAAACAGGUCCCCUCCACACAAGCUCAUGCAUUUCAUUGUGAGAGAUCCACAUUGCAGGAUACCUGCUGCAUAUUUCUGAUCUUUCAUAAACCUCAGAACAUACCACAAUACUUUAACAAUUUUAAGCUUUGUACUGUAAGAAGCAAAAAACUGCAGGAAUAACACAGAAAUGUUUAAGGCCAUUGCUGCAGAGCUCUCAGACAAACUGGUCUGGAGCAAACUGAGUCCAAAUCUGGCAAUCUACUUAAUCCUGAAUUUGUGGGCAAGAUGAACCAGCUGACAUUCAAAACCAGGAGCAGAUCUAUUCCCUGUGUCUUCUACCUAGCUAUGGCCAAUCCCUGAAGCCCUGCACAUCCAACAUAUAUAUAGUUUGCUGCAGAUGGAUCUUCAUUGGUUUUUUCUUCUCUGUUUAUAUUAAGCUGCUGCUUACGCUCAUACCUGAGGCGGACGUCCCAGUUUUCCAUAGGAUGAUGUCCACAGGAUGAAGACAGUCAAGUGAAAGCUAUUCUUGCUUUAGGAAAAUCCCCACAGAUUUUAUUAAAAAUUUUGCAAUCAUUAAGGUUACAGAUUUACCAAGUGUAUAUGGACAGCUUCACACUAC
rnacentral:lncRNA from 1 species